CUUCAUUAUCACACUGUAUAACUGGACAGAUGGUUCCUAACGUCUGACUGUGAAAUUGAAACCCAGCGGUGUAACCCUUCAUGGUUUGACUAAAUGGGUGCCUCGACCUGGACCAAUGGACCGCAAGCCGGUGGUCUACUCUCAGAGCGCUAUCUAGGGAAGGCAGAGCCUACAAGCAGGGCAGAGCUCAACACCGCCUCCCUCAGUAAGUACAAGAACGUGAUUGACAGCUGUGGAGGAUGGGGGCUGUUCCAGGAGCUGCUGGUUGCCUUGGAGACGGUCGCCAGGGGCCACGGCUGCUCCAUCGCCAACGUGGCUACCCACUACGUCCUGGACCGGCCUGCUGUGGGUGGAGUCAUCGUGGGCUGUCAUCUCGGUGUUGCCGGGGCAGAACACAGAGGACAGCCUCCACGGCUGCAGCCCAGAAUUGGAACUCACGGCGCAAGACCUGCGCACCAUCGAUGGAGUGGUGCAGCGCUCGCGUGA
rnacentral:lncRNA from 1 species